UGUUUCGCUUUGUGUUCCAUGCAGUCACGGCCACGGGUGCUUGCCCUGGUGGCGAGUGGCGAACGGGUGAGUAAACAUCGGAACAUGUCCUGUAGUGGGGGAUAGCCGGCGAAAGCCGAUUAAUACCGCAUACGAUCUAGGAUGAAAGCGGGGGACCUUCGGGCCUCGCGCUAUAGGGUUGGCCGAUGGCUGAUUAGCUAGUUGGUGGGGUAAAGGCCUACCAAGGCGACGAUCAGUAGCUGGUCUGAGAGGACGACCAGCCACACUGGGACUGAGACACGGCCCAGACUCCUACGGGAGCCAGCAGUGGGGAAUUUUGGACAAUGGGCGAAAGCCUGAUCCACAAUGCCGCGUGUGUGAAGAAGGCCUUCGGGUUGUAAAGCACUUUUGUCCGGAAAGAAAUCCUUGGCUCUAAUACAUCGGGGGAUGACGGUACCGGAAGAAUAASACCGGCUAACUACUUGCCAGCAGCCGCGGKAAUUACUAGGGUGCAAGCGUUAAUCGGAAUUUACUGGGGCGUUAAAGCGUGCGCRGGCGGUUUUGCUAAAGACCCGAUGUGAAAUCCCCCGGGCUCMACCUGGGGAACCUGCWUUGGUKRACUGGCAGGCUAAARUGCAAAGGGGGGUAAAUUCCCCCGUGUACAUGAAAUGGC
rnacentral:rRNA from 1 species